rnacentral:lncRNA from 12 species
AAUCUUCUACCUCUAGAGAUUAAUUUCAGCCCUUACAAUGUUAUUUUCAGAGCUGCUCUACCGACUUUUCCCCUCCUAAAGUUUUCGUGCGAUUUUGUGCUGAUACAUGGACUCAACGAUCCAGGAAGUUGCCUGUACCUUGGGAGCUCCAUUUAGCUUCACAGCAUGGGCAUCGGGCUUGCUGAUUCUCGUCGAUAAAUUCAAUUUUUUUCAGAGGAGCUGAUAAUUAAGCUGAGCUGCUUUGCCAGCUCCUCAUGGUGACGUGAGAAGGAGAUAUCUUGGAAGGGACAGCCACACGAUUCCAGGGCCACAGCUACCUUUGCUUUCAUCCUGGGAUUCCCAUCCUCUUCAAACCACAGGCUCCAGGUGGAUGAGGUCAUUUUGCCAAGGGCAAGAGCCUCAGAGCUGUUCCAAGAUGGAAACAUCAAGCUGUGUGUUCUGUCUCUUAUUUUAUUGUGAACAAUAAACCCUGUAAUAUUCCAUCC